GUGAAGAAUCUUUGCAAAAUGCAGAUUUUGCAAAGUACUAUGAAAUGCACAACGCUAGUGGAGUUCUCAAAUGUGUGAGUGGAUGUGACAAAGAGUAUGAACAGUAUGGGUACUAUCAAACAUGCAACGGUCACGGAACAUGCAGAGUGUACCGCGACACUGGAAUUACUUGCGAGUGUAAUGCGUUGAGUUCAACCUGGUACUUGGGAGAAGACUGUGCGCUACCUAUAAAUCAAAUUGCUUUUUAUGUAGGGUUAAGUGCGACCCUUACUUGCCUGUUAGUGACUGUGGCAGGUCUGACUGCAUAUCUGCUCAUAAACAAACGCAAGCAAACAAAGAAGAAGGACAUUAAAGAAAAGCUGGUGAACGAGUGGAUGAAUGAGGACAUGGAGUGGUCCAGAGCCAACAGUCCACAGAGCAAAUUUAAUGCUGGAGAUUAUCAAAACCCUUCAUUCACACAUGAAGAAUCAGGCAUCCACCGCGGGUAUGCCAGGGAUUACACACGACCUGUACCUCUUCGCCAGAUGUCCCAACCAUCUUCAUAUAAUGGCACCAAACCGUCGAGCCUGCUAAUGAGCACCCCCACUAUGCCACAAACAGCACACAGGCAGGAGACUGCAUUUUCUAAUGCCAGAUACUUGCAGUCUCCCAGUCCAGCCCAACCCCACAACGACUUCUCCCGCAACGAUCCGAUGAGCAUCAGCAGGCCUCAGAUUAGGACAUCCUUCGAUGUCUGAGAAGUGCAUUGAGAGCUCAGACUCCACUGUUUUUAAAAUGAUGACUUCAUCCUUUUGAUUCUUUUAUUUCUUUGUAAGCUAUUUAUACCUGGAUUUUACAUCAGUGAAAAGUGUUUACACACCUACUCGGCUGCUUGGUGUUGAUUCUAAUCUAAGAUGUUGUCAAUUGUUUAUUUUCGACAGAGGUAACUCUGAUGAACUUCUUUUCUGCAGCAGAGGGAACUUUUGGUCUUCUUCUCCUGAGGUGUUUUUUUUUAUGAGAAUCAGUUUCAUUGCAGUGUUUGAUCAUUUUUGCAACUGCACAUUUUUUUCAACCUUCUGACUGCCGUAUCUUAAGGCACUGAUGGAAUGUUGCUUCCGUUUACUGAGCUGAAUUCUUUACUUACAAGCCACAAUAUGGAUUACUAGACUAGGUGAAAAGGUCUACUUGCCAGAUACUGAUGUGACCUCGGCACAUUACAGUUGAUCGCUUCAGCCACACGAAAUUAGUAAAAAAAAUUUUUUAGAUAGCAAGCAAAUCUAAACUAUUGAACAUAUUUUGAUUUUACACUAGUCUGGUCACUAUUUAAUCAUGUAUCUGUUAUUUCCUGUUUUAAAUGUGUUAAUUAUAUUUCAACAGUGUCUGAAAUAGUAAACAUGAAUUCACACCCUUGAAGUUGUGUCUAAACUUUAUAUAAGUACCACAUUUAUUUAUGGUUUUAUGUGAGAGCCCUGUCAAAAAUGUUACCCAUUUACACUUGUAAUGUUUAGUUUUAUUGAUACUGUGUCGGUAAAACGUUGAUUCAUGCCUGUGGUACGUUGCAGUGAAUAUAGUAACUGAUUUUUCUAAUAUAAAUAAGAAACACCUCUCAGCUGUCAACUUGGCUUUAAGUCAACAAUCAUCCAACUUCGAAAGUAAGUCAUUAUUCAAGAGGGCUGAAGUUUAGUGACUUGCAGUUGAUAAUGAUAUCAGACUGACAGUAACAUACAUAGUACAUGGCAAAGCCAAUGAUCGGGGUUCAAUUUGUUUGGAAAAUAUUUGUUUAGUGGGCAAACAGGACUUUAUUUGUAGUGUAGAAUAUCAGUGAUAUUGUUGUUUUUACACCCCUGAAAUAGUUUUGAUCUUGAUUCUUUGGACGCACUUUAUGUAAAUAAAAACUUUCGGUGGUUAUAAAAGUC